UACCACACUAGAUCACUGGGGUUUAUGUAUUGCAGAAUAAACAUAAAUCGGAGGGAAACACACACACACACACACACACACACACAAAAAGAAGGGUACAAGCCAAGACAGAUUUUAGGUACUUUAAAUAAGAGGUCCUGAGGAGAAAGGAGCUGGUCUGGUAUGUGAGGAAAUUUGUUGAAGUUUGUUGAAAGGAAAAAGGAGAUUUGGAGUUAUGUUCUCAUAGUAUGUUUUUGUGUUCUUCAAGGAAUUCAAGAAAGGAGAAAGAACCCUGGGAAGAGUCUGUAUCACACUCUUCCAUAGCAACACGAGGACAGAAUGGGACUUUGAAUUCAAGUGGGUGGUUGGUUCUUCCGCACUUACAAAGCCAAGCCUAUACCUGCAGGAAGCGAUAACACCAAGAGUUGUUUAGGAAGGCAAGGAAGAAACAUCAGUGUCCUGUCUAGCAUCAGAAAAAAACGACUUCUUAUUUCUACUACUGUUAUGAAUCCCUCACUCAUGUACACCUUUGUGAUGUGACUUCCAAGUUACUAUUCUAUUUUCUGGCUGGAACCUGCAAAUUCCAAUCUGGAAGUAUAUCUCUUUAGGGAAAGGGAAGGAGGACCAGAACCAGUGUUUAUUAAAUACCUACUAAAUGUCACAUUUACUAUGCAUAGUUCUAUAUAUGCUAUGUAAAUUACCCAUAAAAAAAAUCAUUGGCAUCACAAAGUGUGUCAGCUAGCAUUUGCUGCAUAACAAACCAACCCAGAAUGCAGUGACUCAAAACAUAUUAUUGCUGGUGAGUAUAUGGAUCAGCUAGUGGUUCUGCUGAGCCUUACCAGGCUUAACUGAUUCCAGCUGGAUUCACUCAUGUUCCUGCAGGUAGCUACUGGAUUAGGUAGGGGCUGGCUGGUAUAGGACGCCCUCAGCUGGGGUGGCUCAUUUCUGUUCCAUAUCCUACAAAAUGAUAUUCCAUGCAUGUUCAUGUGGUACUGGUAGAAGAGAGUAAGCAGAAGCCUAAGGCCUCUGAGCCCUAAGCUUAGUUUGAACACACCAUCCCUUCCACUCCAUUCUAUUGACCAAAUCGAGUCACAAGCCUGGCCUAGAUUCAAGGGGCAAGGGGAGAGAAAAACAGAUUCCACCUCUUGAUGGAAUGAGCUGCAAGGUCACGUGGUCAAUGCCAUGAAUACAGAGAGUGAUAGAAAAUUGGAAAUUUGUCUGCAAUGAACCAACCACAAAUGCCCUGGAAUAUUCCAGAUCACCUAAGCUGUAUGUUUUUCUCCAAAAACAUGUUUCGCUUGCAUAUCUAGACUACCUUUGAAGAUUUUAGAUUUCCCUUUAGAUUCACUUACAGAAAAAUUCAGGAAAGAUGCUGUAGGGUUUUCAGAUGGCAUAUAGGAUUUUCAGUUUACCCAAGUAAGACAAAUGACCAUCUAAACCCAACAAAAGCCUAUGUGCUUUUAUUCCAAAUAACAGCAGGACAAAGCUAACUCUACUUCUCCCCUCUUUAUCUACUACAUCACUCACUGUUUGAAAGAAGAAUAAACUAGACAGGAAGCUUGAUACUCCUGCCAGUUGGGUUUGGUAAGAGACCAGCCCAACAGCCAAGUAUCUGCCUUAAGGGAAGACCCGUGGCCUCAGCCAAAAUAGAAGCACACCUAGCCAUGGUGUUUUGUUUCACAAAUAUAAAAUAAAACAUGUUAUUUAAAAAAACCCAAAAACCUCUAAAUCAGAGAUCACAGAUAGUUUUUAUCCUAUAUGCCAACUCCAAUUGGUUAUUAGAAGCUUCCAGGGGUGCUAUGUUGGAAAUAUUAGGCUUCAGGCAACUCUAACAAAAUUAGUAAAGCACAAGAAUUUUCCAGCAAUAAAAUGUCAGUGACUGAUUCCCACCAUUAGAAUAAAUUUACAGGGUAAGCAUAUUCUCAUCUCCUGGGCCUCUUUCUUUCUCUCUACUUCUACCUGGGCUGUUUUUGAGAAAGGCAAGUAGAGCAGCAACUUUCUAUCAUAGACUCUGGAGAUGGACACAACUUGACUUUUUUUUUUUUUGGCCUUUUCAAGUGUGUAGAUGGUAAAGAUCAUGGAAGAACACAGGUAUAUCUAUAAGUACAAUCUAUUCCAAAGAUCAAUAUAUUGGUCCAGACUAAAUCUAACCCCAGAAGGAAUAUUUCUAAAACCCAGAAAUAAUUCAACAGUAUCACAGCAGGGUGCAAAUUUUUUUUUGCUUGCUCUAGGCCUACCUUGACAUUGUUCUCAAGAUAAUAUCAUCUAUCCACUGAACGGAGAGGAGUCUCAAGCUAGACCUGGAUGGUCAGGCUCUAACUUAAGGAGAAACAUCUCAGACCCAGAACAAGGCUUAUCAAUGACACAGCAAUGCACAUGGUAUAGUGAAAAGAACACAAAACACAAAGGUUCAGAUUCUGCCUUUGCAAGUUUAACAUUUCUCCCAGAGUCUCAUAAGAGAUGUAAUAUAACCACCUCAGAGUUUGUAAUGAGAAUAAAAUGGGCAAACAUGUAAAGCACCCAGAGUA